GUCCAGGGAUGGGAAUCGAACCCACUGUAUUCCGCUUACCGGGCAGAUGCCAUGUCCACUAGGCUACCCUGGA
rnacentral:tRNA from 1 species